UUGUUUUCCAUAUUCAUUGUGUUGUUAUCUCUCUAAGCAGGUUUGCUACCUGACAAAUUGAAGUUCACUCUCUAAUAUAUGAUGACAGUGCUAAAUGACUACUUUAAUAUGUUUUGCCUAGAAGUGUCAUUCCUGUUUUGAUAGACACCGAUGGAACUUGAUAUCCAGAUUUGAAGAAAUACUGAAAGAAAGGCUUAGAAAUUGACUGGUAAUAAAGGCACAGUUUGGAAAUAUCAGUGCAGCAAACAUACUGUCUGCUGCUUUCAGUGGCUGCAACUACAACUUAAGUCUCUGAAGUGAAUGAGUGGCAUUUUCAGGUAUGAAUUCAGAAGCAUAGAGUCAAUUUUUUGCUAUUUUGAUGCCAGUUAUAUCACCUGAAGUAGUAAUUAAUCCAUCAAAAUUCAUCAUUUUUCCCCCUAAAUCUAUGUUAGUAAAUUAUGGUUUACAAAACAAUCAAACAGUGUUUAUCAAAACAGUAGCCCUGAAAGUGCAAACAACACAAAGAUAACUAUGCAAACCUGCUAUUGGGUAAGAACAAAGCCCAUAUUAUCAAAUCUGUUGAGAACUUUAUGAUCAGUUUAAGAUGGGAAUGUCCAAGUCAAAAUAUCUUGCUGUGAUUUAAUGUUCUGAGAUUAGGUGCUCCUUACUUUAAUGAGAUUUUUUGGUUUCUAUUUGGUUAUUCUGAAAUCGAAACAUAUGAGUUAAUGGAUGGCUUCCAAGUGCCUAAACAAUAAAGAUUUGAACAAUUAUAACUCUUAGUACCUACUGUAAUUAGUGAAUCUAUUUACCAAAACUUCAGGGUUUUUUUAUUUUCUGUCCUCUAUUCAUUAUGCCUCUCUCACUUCUAGGUUUGAUUUUCUCAUCAUACAAAUGGAAAACAAGCUUUCCCUCACAGCCACUCACCCAGAGUCACUUUGGUUUCUGACAGUGGGCCUUUCUCUCUGACACAACACCAGUGACAACAGAGGUUGUGUUAGCCAAACCAUGAUCUAAUCUCCUUUUCAAUUCUACCAUUGUCCUCAAAAUGUGAUCUCAGUGGCACCAGGAUAAAUGUCCAUCAGAAUUUUUGUCCUAAAGGAUAUAUGAGUGAGAGAGCAAAACCUGAAAAUUCAGCUGCUGCAGAGUUGGAUUUCAGGGCUUAUUUUAUCCAGCUGACCCUCAUUAAUUGCCUAAAAUUUUUCACUCACCAUUUCCACAUCCAAAAUGGAAGGGAUUUUUAAAUUAUUAUUAUUUCUUUCACAUUUUUUGUCUUUUUGAGAAAUCUUGAACAUAUGCAUUUAAAACAGGUUAUCUUCUCCCUUCUACUUUCCCUUUUCUAAGCUCUAGCAAUCAGAACUUAAAGCUAUUAUUCUGUCUUCUUUCUAUGUCUUUGUAAAUGCACAAAUAUACUGUUACAAAAUUCAGGAUGUCUCCCCAAAAAAAAGAAGUACGAUUAUGGUAUUUUGUAAGGACAUAUGUUGAAAUUGUUGCUGAGCAAUGGGCAGCCAUCCUGGUUAUCACAGUUAACUAUUGGUACCUAUUCUGAAUAUUUUCUUUUACUACAGGUCACCUCCACAGCCUUUUUUUUUCACCCCUCUUAAAAGUCCCUCUAUUUUGUUGAUAUCUUUCUAGGAAUAAAAUGUUCAGAACAGUCCAGAAACCAUUUCAAAUGUAACAUUUCAGGAGGGCAUGAAGCAUAAAAAUAAAAAGCAUAUAGAGCUAUAACUAUGAGGAAAUAUGACUUCAAGACUAGGUACAGUUCGUGUGUUGCUGGGGGAAAACAGAUCACAGUAGACACCCACAUACAAUAUGCUGUCUACCAUCAUUCACAAGAGUUCCAGACACCUCCCACUAUCCAAGGGGAAACAUUGGUGCUAAUAAUCAUUUGAAAUCUUAUUGAUAUUAUGAAGGCUUUUGAAAUAAAAGGCAUUGAUACCCUCUGCGCUAAGGCCAGACUAGAGAGACUUCAGGGCUGCCAAGAAGCUUAUGCUGAAUGUCAUCCUGUUGAUUAAUUCCUUGGGAAAAGGGUUCAGCUGAUAAGAAACCAGUGAUAGCAUCAAAGGAAACUUUGUCCCAUGAACAGAGAAUUUGAUCAGAGGUACUCUGGGCCUUAAAACCUUGGCAACAGAUGGAUUAUGACUAAAAUCUGGUAACUAAGGGAAGGAUUUUGAAUGCAGCUUCAGAUUUUCCAUGCUUCGGUUUUGCAUGUUUAAUUUGAGCUGUCUGGAAGUAGAUUUAUUUCUUUUGAUACAGAAUCUUCUGAAAAUUGGGAUCUUUUAGAAGGCAAAACUGUCCACCAGACUUGCAAUUGUCAAAGUUCUCGAAACUGUGUUCUGUUAUCAGAGUAACUAUAUCUUAUUUCUUUUAAAUUAGUCAUUUUUGCACAGAUUUUCUACAAAAGCAUUCAGAAGGAAAUCUCCCCUGUGCCUUCAGAAACUGAGAUGAUACAUGGAGAUGACAACUCAUGACUUUUUGACAUUUAAAGAGAGAAAGCUCAUUGCUCUCCCCUCCUAGUCAGAUGCUGGAGAAAGAUAAAACACACCAAAGGUUAAGUUUGUCUUCGGAGAACUCUGUUUAUGGAAAAGCUUCAAAAGCCAGAGAGAGAGGAGGAAAAAGAAAAUGCAUUUCUUGCCUUAAUGACAUGAAAAUGAAUCACACAUUUUAAAAUCCAGCAGUCCUUUUUUGAUUCUUGGCCGCAGUUAUCUGGUAACAUUUCUAUCAGUCACAUUCAUUUGAAGCAUGUGGCAACACGUACUGGAAAUAUGAAGACACACUUUCUGCAUUUGCAAUUUCCCAUCUUCAAAGUGUUGGGGUUUUUUUGUCAUAAAUCUGGAGAAAACCAUGUGAUGUGCAAAAGACAUUUCUCCCUUUUUUUUUCUUAAUUCAUCACUGUUAUUCUCUUUAGUUCCUCUCUUAGUCAGGAUGCUAACAUUUGUUUGCUUCAAGGACGUUUUUCAAGUUUAAUGAAGCCAACAUCCAAUAUCACCUUCAGUUAAGCCCUAGUUAAAUGUAAAUAUCAACCAGUAUACUUCAGCAAAAAGGAAAAGCUCAUGCAAACAUUGCAACAUAAAAGCUUCUGUUCUUCACUCUUAAAACUGAAUGGAUUUGGACAACACAUAAAAGGACCAAGAGUUAAAUUAGUAUAAUACUGAGUCACUCCUAUUGACCUCCAUUGGUUUCAAAUACAAUUCAAUUUCAAGUGCUCAUUUAUCUAAACACAUAAUUGCAGGGAGAGGAAAAAAGAACACAUGAAAAAAUAUUAUUAAUAUGUAAGAGACCACUGGAGCAGCCUAAAUAAACCUGAACAAUUAGUACAGAA